GUCAUGAUGGCCGAGUGGUCUAGGCGCAAGUUCUGGUCCUCGUAAGAGGGCGUGGGUUCAAAUCCCACUUCUGACA
rfam:Glycine max cultivar Williams 82 chromosome 1, whole genome shotgun sequence.